rnacentral:rRNA from 1 species
AGGUAGGGAUACCCGCUGAACUUAAGCAUAUCAAUAAGCGGAGGAAAAGAAACCAACAGGGAUUGCNUUAGUAACGGCGAGUGAAGCGGCAAAAGCUCAGAUNUGAAAUCUGGUAUCAAAUUGAUACUCGAGUUGUNAUCUGUAGAGGAGUUUUCGGAGUACGGCUUUGGUUAAAGUUCCUUGGAAAAGGGCAUCAUAGAGGGUGAGAAUCCUGUUUAUGACCAGUGUCUGUCUCCAUUAUGAACCUCUUCANUGAGUCGAGUUGUUNGGGAACGCAGCUCUAAAUGGGUGGUAAAUUCCAUCUAAAGCUAAAUAUUGGCAAGAGACCGAUAGNGCACAAGUAGAGUGAUCGAAAGAUGAAAAGAACUCUGAACAGAGAGUUAAAGAGUACGUGAAAUUGUUGAAAGGGAAGCAUUUGUGACCAGACAAAUUUACGGUUAAUCAGCCAUCAAUUCUUGGUUG